rnacentral:rRNA from 1 species
UACGUAGGUGACAAGCGUUGUCCGGAUUUACUGGGUCGUAAAGAGCGCGCAGGCGGUCGAUCAAGUCGAGUGUGAAAGCCCCCGGCUCAACUGGGGAGGGUCAUUCGAAACUGGUCGACUCGAAGGCAGGAGAGGGUAGUGGAAUUCCCGGUGUAGUGGUGAAAUGCGUAGAUAUCGGGAGGAACACCAGUGGCGAAGGCGACUACCUGGCCUGUUCUUGACGCUGAGGCGCGAAAGCUAGGGGAGCAAACGGG